GUGAUCCUGAGGGCGUCCUCUCGCUGAGGGCCUGCUGAUCCCUCGCGAUUCCCUAGGGCUUCCUAGCGCCGCCCUUGCCCUCUGUCCGUACCCCGGGCUUCGGGGCCACGACGCGGUGGGUGCCAGGUGUCAGUGUAGCAGUGCCUCAGGCCGCGGCGCCUCCUGGGGCCUGGGGAGACCCGCGGCGCCCUCUAGUGGUGGCGGCCAGACUAGUCCGGGAACUGUCCAGUGCCAGUGAGGUGGCCCGCGUUGGAGGCCUGGGAGCGGCCCCUGUGCACACUAACGGGAACCUGAGGAUCCUGGAAGGAGAACUGCGUUUGCAGGGAGAAAGAAGAGUGUCUCAGAGCUGGCCCUGAAGGAGAGAGACUUCUGACAGGAUCCUUGGACCUUUACCCAGCAUCAGCAGGAACCACCCUCAAGAGCCACUUUGUGCUGCCUGGCACGUCCACAGCAAUUAGAGCAAAAGGACAGAGGUAAGAAAACUAGAGGGAAGUUCUCCCCACCCAGUGUUGGUAGGGUCACCCAGGACCUCUACCAUCAGUCCUGACAUUCACUGUACGGGGCUCAUUAUCCUCACUUGCACCCUUUACUGAGAUUCCCC
rnacentral:lncRNA from 1 species